CACAAGAGUCAUACAAAUUUGUUUCAUAUUUUUCUUUAACAACUUCAAACAUCUGUGUAAUGUAUUUUGAUUAUAUUUACCAUUCAUUACCUUCUUUGGUUUCCCUGCCCCCUCAUCUCUUGCUAAAACUUUUCUUCUCAAGAAGAUAUCCUCAUACUUUCAUUAAAUUUUUUUUUUUGGUGUACCACUGUGUUUGAUUACCGUUACUUGUAUAAUUACGAGUGGGGUUUUAUUUACUGAAGCAUGGAUAACCAGUGGCUUCACUAGUAAAGAAAAUGACUCUCCUCCAACAGCAUCCCUAACUGCCAAUAGCUCUUCAGGGGCGUGGCCCUGUAAAGCCCUUCCUGUCCCAUAAUGCAAUGCUGCACGUCGCCAUGGCUUCUGUGAAUCCACCUUACAAUUGACACUUUGUGUCCAGAAGACAUUGCUUUUUUAACGCCCCUUGCCCAUUGUCUGGCCCUUACACUCUUUCUGUCUCCUCUUACACAAUGUUCCUGAAUCUUGGAGGAAGAUAUUUUCAGAUUUAAAUCUUUUCUUGGUCCCUUAAUGAAUGAUGAACAAUCCAUUAUCUGUUAGUCGAAACUUCGUGUGCCAAAAACACAAAGAUAAGCACGGAUGACUUUCUAGUCCUCACGGUAUGGAUAAUCCACAAGCCUGGGUUCCUAAAUAUGUCAUGUGAAUCUGUAAACUUAAAUUAGACAUCACAUGGUCACAUAGCAUGACUGCAAUUCCCUGUAAUGCAAACAGAACCAAUUACUGAAUCUCUUUACAUUUGUGGUUUGUUUUAGAUCUCGUUCAGACAAUCUCAGCCUGUCACAACAGCGAUGAGUUUGUAUAUAUCAAAUGACAAGUUGGCUAAAUUAGGUGGGAAGAUUGCAUUAAAUCAGUAGAUUGUCUUUCUGUCAUAUUUCAAAACUGUGUUAGACAAGGGAGCAUCUUCCUUUAUUUCAGGCAGUUAAGAUGUGCUCCAGGAUAGUAUUUGUGAGAUUUAUUUUUAAUCUUAAUUUUGGGUGUGGUGUGUGGCUGUGUUGCAUUUGUGUACAUAAAUGUAGAGUGAACCAUCCAGCAGGUCCAGUUAUUCAGGGUCCCGAAGCGGCGCUACCUGAGGGUCAAGGUGGCGGGAGGAGAAAAGAAGGAGACCAAGCAAGGUUCUGUUGUCAAGGUCUCAUUUAUUGGGGCGAGCGUUACAGCUUAUAAGGCUUUCAGAUAGGGGAAGUGACCUUUGUGAAACACAAAGGAGGGAGGGGCGAGGGUAUUCUUAGCAGCGAUAGCAGGAAGCAAAGAGGUCAUGAGGUGGAGACAUCUGGUGUUUGCUCAGGCUGAAACAUCCUGUGAUUGUUCCCAGAAUCUUCCUGUGCCGUCAGUUUAUGGGAAAGGCUUUUGUCCAACAAUCUCAUAAUCUUGCAGCAGUCAUCUUAGGGGUGAGCGUUUUGUGACUGUAUAGCUCAGAAUGGCUCCCUACAUCUCCCCCUUUUUUCUUUUAUAGAAGACCAUAGAUUUCUGGGGAGAAACUGGGCAGAGGAGCAAAUGACCGAAAGAGGUGUAGCCAUCUCUGUCUUAGGAUGGACCUCUCAAACCCCAGCCUUACCUGUUGUAGGAUUACCUUGUCGUCCUCAAGGCUCCAUGUCUUAGGUUGGUCAGGGGCUAGAGGAAGUUGCCCGUCACUGAGAUGGCUACUUUGGGUCAUCUUACCAUUCCCCCUAAAAGCCUAGGGACAAAAGGGUAGGGGCCAGACGGCAUUACUUUAGGAGCUUGUGGAAGUUGAGCCUCUAUCAAUGUAUUGAGGGCACCUCGCCUUGUUCGCUGUCUCUCUGGUCAUCCUCAGUUGUUCUGGUCUCCAAGCGAUGAUAAUGUACUGAAACAGAAUUUCUAGGCAAAACAGAAUCUAUUUGUGAUUUAGUAAAGCAUGCGAGUCACUGAAAGGCCCAAGGACAGAAGGAAAUCAACAGAAGCAGGACUACAAGGGGUCCUAAAAUCGAAGGCAGCAAGGGGUGUUCCACGGUGACGUGGACUGUUCAAGGUGCCCUUGCAAUAAUUGUUCCUGCACCAACUGUAGGGCCGCUUGAACCUUUUCUUGAGGCAUGGACCACUGAUCGAUCCAGACUGGGUCAUCUGACUUCCAAGAUACUUGAUCAGUCUGGAGUGCAGGAGGAACAUCAGUCUCUAUGAAAAAAGGUCAGGAGCUUUGAACUUUGAAGUGUAUCCUGUGUUUGGCCUAUCCCUUUUAAAUGUGUGGCGGUAGCUUUAAGGGGCCAGGUUGAGGGCCACUGUCUAGAAGAGAGCACCUUUGCAAACGCCCCCGUAUCUAAAAGGCCCUGAAACUGUUUGCCAUCGAGCCAAAGAGACAUCAUGGGUCUUUUAUCAGUUAACUUUUGAACCCAAUAGACAUCUGAAGAGCCCGGGAAGGAGGAACCACGUCCUUCUUCCAUGGUGACCAGAAUCUCCGGUUUUUUGGAACACAGCCCCGAUCGCCAGACUAAUAGACUUGGAUACGUGAUGUGAGAAGGAAUCGACAUCAUUGCAAAGUUUAAUCAUUCCCGGAAUAUCAAGGUCUUGCCUUUGG